rnacentral:lncRNA from 1 species
CCACUAGAGUUAUUUCUCACUGUUUUUAAGUGUUUUUAGUGUGUUUUAGUGUGUUUUGAAAGAAAAAUACAAAAAUUUGGAAAAAAAAAAAGUAGGAAACGUUUUGAAAAAACCCAAAAAGAGUCGUUUUAAAGUUGUUGCUUUUUUUUGUGUUUGUGUCUUAGGGUACCUUCCAACACAAUGAUGAGGAUUUGGUUUUUAAUUGCAUGACUGUUAAAGAAAGCUACAAACAUGGGUGGAAGUUUGAUAUGCUCUUUGGUUAAUGCUUGGUUGUAGUUGUCGUUAACGAAUUCACAUGUAAUCACAAAGGAAAAAAAAUCAAUUUUUGUAACAUGCUUGAAGGAAGGAACUCAAACUAACGCUACAACCCUGAGAGACUUGAGCCUAAGCUUUAUUUGGAGAGUUAUUAAUCUGUGAAUCCUUGUUUUCUAAAUUCGUUGCAUGAUCUCAUUAUUCUUUGCUUGGUUGCUAUUUAGAAUGCGUUUUAUCAUUUUAGUUCCAAAUACUAGAACUCAUGCCAUUUCAUUCAAAGCAUAAAAUUGAGUGCAUAACAUAUAACAAGAUGAAGUUGUUUAGUAGUUACCACCAGAGCCAAAAAAGCCUUCAUC